CCUACGGGUGACAGCAGUGAGGAAUAUUGGUCAAUGGACGAGAGUCUGAACCAGCCAAGUAGCGUGAAGGAUGACUGACCUAUGGGUUGUAAACUUCUUUUAUAAAGGAAUAAAACGAGGCACGUGUGCCUUUUUGCAUGUACUUUAUGAAUAAGGAUCGGCUAACUCCGUGCCAGCAGCAGCGGUAAUACGGAGGAUCCGAGCGUUAUCCGGAUUUAGUGGGUUUAAAGGGAGCGUAGAUGGGUUGUUAAGUCAGUUGUGAAAGUUUGCGGCUAAACCGUAAAAUUGCAAUUGAAACUGGCAGUCUUGAGUACAGUUGAGGUAGGCGGAAUUCGUGGUGUAGCGGUGAAAUGCUUAGAUAUCACGAAGAACCCCGAUUGCGGAGGCAGCUUACUAAACUGUGACUGACAUUGAUGCUCGAAAGUGUGGGUAUCAAACAGGAUUAGAUACCCCUGUAGUC
rnacentral:rRNA from 1 species